rnacentral:lncRNA from 1 species
CAUGAAUUGGCAAAAACUGUUGUCAUAUAUUGUACGAACAGCUUCUAAGAAUAGUGAAGCUUACCCUGGGAUGCAAAAGAAAAACAACCUUGUGAAAUCCAAACAUGAUAGUACGCACUGCAGCAAGUAUCUUUACAAUCAAAAUCAAUGAAUUGAAACGAGCAUAAAAUAAUAUAUAUGUGUAUGUAUACGUGUGUGUGUGUGUGAGAGAGAGAGAGAGAAGAGAGAGAGAGAGAGAGAGAGAUUCUUUGUUUUACCUCCAUUUACAAAGAAGUUCAAGACGAGGAAAACCUUUUGCGUUGUCCAACCAUACUCAGGCACUCUUAGUUCAAUUCUUAGUAAUUGAAUCUACAUGUAAUAAUGGAUUCUCGAUAAAUUCGCACUACCAAUUCCCAUGGUACUCAAUGUUAAGGGAAUAUAAUCCCACAUCGGUAAAAUAUCGAAAUAAUGACCAAUAUAUAAAGAAUUGGGGCACUCCUCUUAACAAGGUUGACCUUAUUGAGAUGGACCCCAAGUCUUAACAUGGUAUUAGAGCCCAUUAAACUCCAACGAGUGAUUCGAUCCUAUUAAGUCUUUAAAAAUG